GGGAAUGUGCUCAGUGGGGGAGCGGCGCCCCCUCCUCCCCACUCUCCCCCUAGCUAUGCUCCUGGAUUUUACAUCCUCCCCUCUUUGAGUGGUCAUCUAAGCACCAAAUCUUUUUCCAGCCACUGGAUGGCAACGAGAUUACUCCAACCAAUUGAUAUUCAAAGUAAGCCUUUGCCUUUCAUCUGGAUUUCCCCAAUUUAGCUGCUACCUGCAAGUGGACCUGAUUUAAAUGUUCUUGCAGAUUCUGCAGGAAGUGGCCACCAUUCCACAGAUGCAAGAUGCUGGACAGUUUUGUCCAGUCCCUGGUGUCCUCCUGUAGGAGUGUCAUGAACCAUGCACAUCAUUUCCCUCCGUAAGUGAGCUGGAACUACCCACACAGGGAAAGAACCUCCUGUAUACAUGAGAACUCCAUUCACUACCUGCAAAUGCUGCUCAUAUCUUCUGUACAAAGGACCCACUGUUAGCAACCCUUCUUCUGCCUUGGAAAGCUUUUGGAUUACUUUUACUGUGUCUUUAUUUGAUUUUUGCAUUUCUUUUAAAUGCGGUAUGUCAGCCUGUACAACUUUAGUUGUGGCAAUAGGGCAUUUGGGUAGUAACAAAAUAUUUCUGAUUUUUUUUUUCCAGAAUCCCCUGAUUGGGCUCCUUUUGGGGCUAAUUUAUCAGCCUUCCCAUUUUUUGUAGCAUAGGGUUCUAAUUUCCAGUGAGCUUUUAUUUUUUUAACUUUACUUGGCCACCCAGGGACAGUGAUUGUUACUGCUAACCAGUGGAUGUAUUUCACCAGCGAUGCAUACCUAAUAGGUGAGCCAUUAGAAGAUGUGAACCUAGUUGUCUCCCAACAUGGUAGAAACUCUGUAAGAGAAUUGCAUACCCAUGCAGAGUCUGAAAACAGACAGAUACUUUGGUAUGUGGCAGUGAUGGAGACCUGCACACAGUACUCCAAUUCACAAGCCACUGCUGCUAAAUCAGCAUAUUGAGCUGAAUGUGAAAUGCAUGAAUAUCCCUUUUCCCAAGGCUCUCCUUUCUCCUCAGAAGGAACUGCAUAGAUUCCAAACGCGAUAUAAGGUUUGUCUUGAUGGUAAUAACUAGAACAGUCAACAAAGAAAUGAUACCUCUUAACAAAAUCUAUCUCCUGGAUCAAUGGUCGGAAAAGCUUUUGUUUUUCCUCCCCCCUUAGAUCCAAUUGAUCAAGAUUGGGACACACAUGUGGCUCCCUUGGUACAGUAGGGCAGUUGGUAACAAAGAUAAUGUCCUAAAAGGUUUUACUGCAAUAUCUUUUCCUUGUAUCAGCAAUGCCCUAUUGGCUAGGCGAGCAUUUGAGACUUGCCCAUCUUUUACCCUGUUGGACAGUAAGAACUGAAGGGGAGUGUGCGAUGAGUGUAAUAUGAUCGGCUGAGGCCAAUUAGAAAAGUGUUGUAUGGCCCAACUGGUUGCCAAUAGGUACUUUUCAUAAUUGUCAUACUUAAGUUCAAUUGAUGACAUUAAACGUGAGGCAUAGGCCACAGGUCUGAUUUUCCCAUGUCUGUCUUGUGAAGCCACAGCCGCUAACUCAUUAACACUCACCACUACCUCCAGAUGAUAGGGUGUCUCAGGAUUUGGAGUGAUCAACACUGGAGCCUUGACAAUGGCCUGUUUCAGUUGGGAUACUGCUUCCAUGUGUUGCACAUUCCAUUUCCAUUGGACACUCUUCUUUAACAGUUGGUACAAGGGACCUGCAAUAGAAGCAAAAUUGGGAAUGAAAUCCCUAUGGUACCCAGUUAAACCCAAAAAGGAUUUUAAAGCCGUUGGGUCCCGUGAUAAAGGCAAUGUUUGGAUUUCAUCCACUUUCUGUUGCGCCGGGGUUCUACCCCAUUUUGUCAGGGUGAGGCCCAAGAAAGAGACACUGUUGGCCAUUAGCUGUGCCUUGGCUGGAUUGCAUUUUAGCCGUGCUUCCUUUAGGAUCUGCAGGAGCUCGUUAAACCUUUCCAGAUGCUCCUUCUUGGUCCGUGUUGCCAAACAAAUGUCAGAAACAGAACAGUUGGUUUAGAAAAUUGCGAUAGUACCCGCCUCAUUUGCGCAUGGAAUAAAACUGGAGAAUUUUUAAACUGGGGGUAAACGUGUCCAGGAAUAUUGGACCCCCUGGAAACUAAAUGCAAAACGGUACUGUGAAAUGCGGGCCAAUGGUAAUGUCCAAAAGCUGUUACUGAUGUCAAGGACAGUAAACCAUGUGGCCUCUGGAUCAAAGGACUUGAUUACAUCUGGCAUCUUGGCCACUGUAGGGGCACAAAUGGGUGUGACUUGAUUCAGGAAUCUGUAAUUAAUCGUGAGAUGCCAAGAACCAUUUGGUUUCUUCACAGGCCAAAUAGGGGAAUUAGAAGUGGAAGUACAUCUAGUAGUACUCCCUAUGUCAAUAAAGACUUGAUAGUCUUUCCUAUGUAUGGGUUCGCAUGGUCUGGGUAAGGAUAUUGUUUUUGGGCUGAUAUAUUUCCUCCUUCCACAACAAUAGUGACUGCCAUACAUUCACAAUCAUGUUUGUGUUUAGCAAAGGCAUCCGCAUGCUUGCGAAGUAGAGCCUGUAACUCAGGCUGGGCUGUAUGAUUAGCCACUAUUUUGUUCAAAUCAUACCGCUCAGGUUCAGAGUCCUCCACUGGAGACACCAUGCCACACUCAGGUAUGAUUACUUGUGAGUCAUCCUUUGCCUGUUCUACAGUAAGACACAACAAUUGGUUAACCAAAUCAAGAACACAUUCCUGUUUGUAUAAUAAAUCAGUUUCCAAUAGGCAAUUCCUUGGGUCUGCUAAUUUCAUUAACGCAAAGGUAUGAACCUUUCUUAGGUGACCUAUCUGUACUUCAGUGGGUUUAGAAAGUGUGGUAACAACCUGAUUGCUUGCAAAAGUUGAAAGUGUUUUUGUACGCCCUGAUGACAGAGAAGAGGAUCUAGGAGCCUUGACAUGGAUAAUACUAAUUGCUGCUCCAGAUUUUAUAAUAAAAUUCCUGUGGC